rnacentral:tRNA from 1 species
AGGAUAAUAAUUUAAAUUAAAAUAUUUAACUUGCACUUAAAAAAUAUUGUCAAAAUUUAUCUUA